GGUUCCGUAGCUCAACCGGAUAGAGCAUGGGUUUUCUAAACCCAGGGUUACAGGUUCGAAUCCUGUUGAGGUCACAA
rnacentral:tRNA from 1 species